GUAAGAUAACUAGAGAAUACAUUAUUUUAGGAGAAUGACACUUCCUUGCUCUCUCUUUUUGCUGAAAUAUUGUGCUAAUAUCUUGUUGGACUGGGAACUGGAGCCAUAUUCCUGAUUAUAGACUGAGAGGAAGUACCAACCAAGCCAUUUAGAAUGACAUCUGUGUGGAAAGCAGGGCUUAAAGAAUAGUAUUUGGUGAUGAGAGCUGCCCAUGGUAAUCCUGGUGCAUCUUGGGUUGGCUGGAGAUUCUGGUCCAUAUUAUUCUCACUUGGAUUCCAGGCUGAGAGGACAGCACUGUCUGGAAGCUCACCAGUUUCUCUGGCAGAGGAAAGCAAGAGCAUGAUUUUAGACUCCUUGAAGGUGGGCAAGGUGUUUAAUACAUUGCUGAGUUUUGAACAGUGACUGGGUACCAGGC